CCUGGUGACCAUACCGGCGGGGGUCCACCCGUUCCCAUUCCGAACACGGUAGUUAAGCCCGCCAGGGCCGACGAUACUGGAGCGUGAGGCUCCGGGAAAAUAGGUCGUUGCCAGGA
rnacentral:rRNA from 1 species